GUCCACUGAACCUUAUCAUUUAGAGGAAGGAGAAGUCGUAACAAGGUUUCCGUAGGUGAACCUGCGGAAGGAUCAUUGUCGAAACCUGCCCCGGCGGAACGACCCGCGAACCCGUCACCGAGCUCACCCGCGGGGGCGGACGUUCGGGCGCGACCGCGUCCGCCGUCGGCCUUGCCGCGGCGCCCCGGGGGGCGGGAACCGAUUCCCCCCUCCCGCGGCGGAAACAACGAACCCCGGCGCGGCACGCGCCAAGGAAAUUUCGAACGGGGGGCGCCUCCCGCGGCCCCGGACACGGGGACGGCGGGGGACGCGCCGGCCCCUCUCUGUGAGAAUCCAAAACGACUCCCGGCAACGGAUAUCUCGGCUCUCGCAUCGACGAAGAACGUAGCGAAAUGCGAUACUUGGUGUGAAUUGCAGAAUCCCGCGAACCAUCGAGUCUUUGAACGCAAGUUGCGCCCCAAGCCGUUCGGCCGAGGGCACGCCUGCCUGGGUGUCACGCGUCGUUGCCUUCCCCCCCAACCCCGCUCCGGGCGUUGCGGGGCGGGCGGAGACUGGCCUCCCGCGCGCUCGCCGCUCGCGGUUGGCCCAAAUUCGAGCCCGCGGUAGCCCUGCCGCGACGAUCGGUGGUGAGAACGCAAGCGUCGAGCUCCCGUCGCGCGCCGGCGGCCCCGCUCGCAGGGCUCGCGGACCCUCUGCGCACCCCCUCGGGGCGCUCGCUCCGCGACCCCAGGUCAGGCGGGACCACCCGCUGAGUUUAAGCAUAUCAAUAAGCGGAGGA
rnacentral:rRNA from 1 species